GGGUAUAGCUCAGUGGUAGAGUUCAUGCUUAGCAUGCAUGAGGUUCUGGGUUCAAUCCCCAGGACAUCCA
rnacentral:tRNA from 1 species